AGAAAGCUCCGACAAGUUUAAAA
rnacentral:snRNA from 1 species